rnacentral:rRNA from 1 species
AUAGGGGAGCCGGAGGGAAACCGAGUCUUAAUUGGGCGUUAAGUUGCAGGGUAUAGACCCGAAACCCGGUGAUCUAGCCAUGGGCAGGUUGAAGGUUGGGUAACACUAACUGGAGGACCGAACCGACUAAUGUUGAAAAAUUAGCGGAUGACCUGUGGCUGGGGGUGAAAGGCCAAUCAAACCGGGAGAUAGCUGGUUCUCCCCGAAAGCUAUUUAGGUAGCGCCUCGUGAAUUCAUCUCCGGGGGUAGAGCACUGUUUCGGCUAGGGGGCCAUCCCGGCUUACCAACCCGAUGCAAACUGCGAAUACCGGAGAAUGUUAUCACGGGAGACACACGGCGGGUGCUAACGUCCGUCGUGAAGAGGGAAACAACCCAGACCGCCAGCUAAGGUCCCAAAGUCAUGGUUAAGUGGGAAACGAUGUGGGAAGGCCCAGACAGCCAGGAUGUUGGCUUAGAAGCAGCCAUCAUUUAAAGAAAGCGUAAUAGCUCACUGGUCGAGUCGGCCUGCGCGGAAGAUGUAACGGGGCUAAACCAUGCACCGAAGCUGCGGCAGCGAACGUAUCACCCAAGACAACUUUACGGAGUUGACGAUUGACGGAGCGAAGCGACGUCAAAGCGUUCAUUAAAGUCGAGUUGGCUUAGGGAUACGUUCGUUGGGUAGGGGAGCGUUCUGUAAGCCUGUGAAGGUGUGUCGUGAGGCAUGCUGGAGGUAUCAGAAGUGCGAAUGCUGACAUAAGUAACGAUAAAGCGGGUGAAAAGCCCGCUCGCCGGAAGACCAAGGGUUCCUGUCCAACGUUAAUCGGGGCAGGGUGAGUCGACCCCUAAGGCGAGGCCGAAAGGCGUAGUCGAUGGGAAACGGGUUAAUAUUCCCGUACUUGGUGUUACUGCGAAGGGGGGACGGAGAAGGCUAUGUUGGCCGGGCGACGGUUGUCCCGGUUUAAGCGUGUAGGUGUGUGUUCCAGGUAAAUCCGGUUCACUUUAACACUGAG